UACGUAGGGCGCAAGCGUUAUCCGGAAUUAUUGGGCGUAAAGAGCUCGUAGGCGGUUUGUCGCGUCUGCCGUGAAAGUCCGGGGCUCAACUCCGGAUCUGCGGUGGGGUACGGGGCAGACUAGAGUGAUGUAGGGGGAGACUGGAAUUCCUGGUGUAGCGGUGAAAUGCGUAGAUAUCGGAAGGAACACCAGUGGCGAAAGCGGCUUCCUGGUCCAGCACCGACGUUCAGGCACGAAAGCGUGGGGAGCAAACAGG
rnacentral:rRNA from 1 species